UACGUAGGUGGCAAGCGUUGUCCGGAAUUAUUGGGCGUAAAGCGCGCGCAGGCGGCUAUCCAAGUCAGUGGUGAAAGCCCGGAGCUCAACUCCGGAACUGCCAUUGAAACUGUUUAGCUUGAGGACGAGAGAGGUGAGUGGAAUUCCCAGUGUAGAGGUGAAAUUCGUAGAUAUUGGGAAGAACACCGGUGGCGAAGGCGGCCGGCUGGGGGCGCCCUGACGCUGAGGCGCGAGAGCGUGGGGAGCAAACCGG
rnacentral:rRNA from 1 species